rnacentral:misc_RNA from 1 species
GCCCUCUACACAAGUUAAAUAGCCAACACCAUCACCAAAGGCUUGAAGCGAGCAAGUAAACAUAGCGAGUAUAGUAACGAGAACACCUGGAGUCAGGGAAAAAAGGCUUGGCUAUACUAUUGCUACUGAAACCAAGAACUCUGCCAACGAAGAUGGAGUAAUAUGGAUUCAUAGUACAUAUUAAUUGAUCUACAUGCAGUAUUUGGAAAGAUAGUUGUAAUUGGUGAUUGCAAGAGUGCUAUCUAGCCCAAUUUGUUGAAGCAAUUUGUGAUUAUUUGUGGAGGCUUGGCUAGCGCCCGGAUCAUCUAAUUUUUGUUUUCGCGGUGCUGGUAGUACACAGCCAACAGUGAAAAUGGCGGAUUUGGAAGCAGUUUUAGCUGAUGUGAGCUAUUUGAUGGCUAUGGAGAAGAGCAAAACAACGCCUGCAGCAAGAGCAAGCAAGAAAAUUGUGCUACCAGAUCCAAGCGUUCGUAGUGUUAUGUAUAAAUAUCUUGAAGAAAGAGGAAAAAUAUCAUUUGACAAGAUAUUUAAUCAGAAGCUAGGAUUUCUAAUGUUUAAGGAUUUUUGUGAGACUAUCUUUGAAUCCCCUGUACCGCAGUUGGAAUUUUAUGAAGAGAUCAAAAAAUAUGAACAACUUGACUCUGAUGAAGAGAGAUUAAAAAGUGCAAGACAGAUUUUUGAUAAUUACAUCAUGAAGGAACUCUUGUCCAGUACACAUCCUUUCUCAGAAGAAGCAGUUGAAUCUGUAAGACAUAAAUUGACCAAACGUGAAGUACCAUCUAACCUGUUUGAGCCAUAUAUUGUUGAAAUUCUCAAUUCAUUACGCGGAGAUAUUUUCAAGAGAUUUUUAGAGAGUGAGAAGUUUACAAGAUUUUGCCAAUGGAAGAAUGUGGAACUUAAUAUCAAUUUAACAAUGAAUGAUUUUAGUGUACAUCGGAUAAUCGGUAGAGGUGGUUUUGGUGAAGUUUAUGGAUGUCGCAAGGCAGAUACUGGAAAAAUGUACGCAAUGAAGUGUCUGGAUAAGAAACGAAUUAAGAUGAAGCAAGGCGAAACUUUAGCUCUCAAUGAACGCAUCAUGCUGUCCCUGGUGGAUAGUCCUUUCAUUGUUUGUAUGACGUAUGCAUUCCAGACGCCUGACAAACUCAGCUUCAUCCUGGAUUUAAUGAACGGUGGUGAUCUUCACUACCAUCUCACUCAACACGGUGUGUUCUCGGAGAAGGAGGUGCGAUUCUAUGCCUCUGAAGUGAUACUAGGCUUAGAACACAUGCACUCUCGGUUCAUAGUGUAUAGGGACUUAAAACCUGCCAACAUUCUCCUUGACGAGAAUGGUCACGUUAGGAUUUCAGAUCUUGGUUUAGCCUGCGAUUUCUCAAAAAAGAAACCUCAUGCUAGUGUUGGUACGCAUGGUUAUAUGGCGCCAGAAGUACUUUCAAAGGGUAGUGCGUACGACUCGAGUGCUGACUGGUUCUCACUUGGGUGUAUGUUGUACAAACUUCUUAGAGGACACAGUCCAUUCAGACAACAUAAGACAAAGGACAAACAUGAGAUAGACCGUAUGACACUAACAAUGGAUGUUGAAUUCCCGGAUUCAAUGUCGAAUGAAAUGAAAACUCUGCUGGAGGGGCUGUUGAAGAGAGAAGUUUCCGAGCGUCUUGGAUGCCUUGGUCGAUCAGCACAGGAAGUACGUGAGCAUCCAUACUUUGAUGGAAUCGAUUGGAACCAAGUUUACUAUCAGAAAUACACGCCGCCAUUGGUUCCACCGCGGGGUGAGGUCAAUGCAGCAGAUGCGUUUGACAUUGGAUCAUUCGAUGAGGAAGAUGUUAAAGGAAUCAAACUUGCUGAUUCCGACCAGGAGCUCUACAAGAAUUUCCCCAUUACAAUCUCGGAAAGAUGGCAGCAGGAAAUAGCAGAGACCGUCUUUGAAACAAUUAAUAGCGAUGCCGACCGAGCUGAAGCAAAGAAAAAGGCCAAGAAAAUGGAUGAAGGAGACUAUGCACAAGGAAAAGAUUGUCUUUUACAUGGUCAAUUAUCAAAAUUAGGCGGACAGUUCCUGAAUUCUUGGCAGAAGCGUUAUUUCUUUCUAUUUCCCAAUAGACUAGAAUGGCAAGGAGACAACGAUAGGAACGUAACGUCCGCACAAAAUGUGUUAACAAUGGAUCAAAUAUUAGCUGUAGAUGAAGCCCAAAUCAAGACAUUCAAAUGUAUUCAGUUAAAGUUGAAACAAGACAAAAAAUGUAUAUUAAGGGCAGAGAGUGAUCCUGAGUUUGUGCAAUGGAUCAAAGAAAUCCGUGAGGCAUUUGAAGGAGCCCAGCGAAUGCUUCGGAAGGGUCCAAAGAUGUUUGCUGCCCAAGAUUUUAUGGAUCCCUGAAAGUCAAAAUUAAAUGACAAGAUCUGAUAGCGAAAAAGUGAGUUUCCGGUUUAAAUGUGAAUGAACUACAAAUGUUUUUAUAUUAUUACUGCUAUAAAUAUUAUUAUUAUUGUUAUUUAUUUUUAAUUUGCUUUAAUUCUCCUUUCUAUUUCAUGGAUAUAAAUGAAGUAUAUCUAGUUUCCUCUUUUGCUUUGUGUGCAUAAGAGAGUUGUGUUAAACUCUCUUUGCAUCGUCUUCGGACGUGUUUCUAACGUCAUAUACUAACUGUUGGCAUUUGUCUCCUAAUAACAACUGUUGUGAUCGGUUGAGCGUACCACUGCACUCUUUGGUAGUUUUUCCGCCGAUAAUGCAUCUUGCUGGUUCUUUUCUUUUCUUUCUAACAUUUCAUGUCUGUAUACCCGCUUUAUCAUGAUGUAAACAAUACCUAGAAACAGAUGGUCGUGGUAUUGUCUUCGUAUUGAUCUCAUUUGCAUACAUGGACAAAUUGCAGGUGUCACUUUGCUAAAAUAAUUUCUAGAAAUUUUGUCUCAAAUUUGUAGUUUAUACCUGUUAUAGAAUAUAGUUACAUUUUUUCAUUGACAGUUUCUUGUAUCCGUUGUAUGUUGUCUUUAUCCGUCAUAGUUUUAGCACUAGGUAAACAGUCUUAAAAAACGAGGGGAGUGUUGUAAAUUAGAAGUCUAUUAUAUAUGCACACACCCGAGGGGUUGCCUUGUUGUCAAUCAUACAGUAUGUUGACAUUUUAAAUUUAUUGUUGGCAUACCCACCAUGUUGGGCAAGAUGUGUGUAGUCAUAAUCAUUAUUGUGAUGAUGAUAAAUGAAAUAAAAUUGUAGUGGGCUCUACCAUUUUAACAAUUCAGUGUAAGACUGUUUAAAUGUUUCGUAUUGCUUUAUAUCUUAAAAAGAAACAAAGAUUUUUCCAUUUUUUUAAAUGUUUUAAUAAAGUCAUACAAUAGGAAUUAUGGACAUAAAGUCAAUCUUUAAACAUAGUGUACAUCUAUGAUUCAAAGUGAUUGUUUAUUUUUAAUGAAAUGUUUUAAUUAAUCUUUGAUUGGUCGACUUAUUGACAAUACCCUUGAUUAAAUUUCAUAAAUUUGAACCAAAAAGAAGCGUUUUGCAUGCUCUGGUCUGUUCCCUCACUGUAACAAUGGUAAAUGUUCCUUUGAAUGUGCAUGAGUAUAAUUCUUGAAGCAUAUUGGGAUAUCAUGCAUAUCACUUUUCUAAUUAAUACCAUAAGAAAGUAUGUCAAGUGUCACAUGACCAGAAUGUGCCUUUUGAUUGGUCAAUUUGUUCACUAGAAAAUACAUUGAAAUUGGACAAAUAUUUUAGGUUAUUGUUAUUAUUUUUUUUUUUUCCUUUCAUUUUUGUUGUUGCAUGUUUAUAUAUGUCAUGGGGACACAACUAUUAUUAGUAACUUGUUCAGUAAAACUCAUGUAUUAGUGAUAUGUACAGUAUAAAGAUUUUAUACCGAAAGAUGAACUCUGACUCUGUUAAAUGUCGGUGCUUCUUGUUUUACUGUAGCAAAAGUAGGUACACAUUUUUUUAAUGAUGAUAAAUGUUCUCUCCUAUUAAAAUAUUAAUAAUACUGUAUUUGUGCACCAGAUAUAUUUGUUAUUUUAAGAAAUUGUGAACAUGGAGUUGUUGAUUAAGUGGGGAGAGAAAAGUAUUGAAUCAUUAUGAAGUGGUCAGAAUUUGUGACAAAUGAAGCCAUUGUCUCUAUUGUACAAAGUACUAUGGAGGGCUAUUAUCUAGGCAUAUGUAAGAAAUCCAAAUUUGGAAUUUAUUGUGGAUAGUUUAAGAAAUUUCAGUAUUUUCUCAUAUUUUCUUUUUCCACACUAAAAACCUCUGAAAAUCACAUAUGAAAAUAUAAACCCUGUGUGUUUAAUCUAAGACAAAAAAAAAUUAUGAAUACUCAUGAGUUCCAAAAUGUUAAAUGGGGUUUUUUCCUGAGGAAUGCCUUGCAUUAUAUAAUGACCAAUGAAGGUUUUUGUAAUAAAUUCUAAUUUGUUAAAUACUGUCUUUUUAAUAUACCACUGUCUACGUAAUCUUUCUUCUUUUUUUGAGCCUGCAAUGGGGACUAGAUCAUAUAGUAAAAUUCUGUAUAAAAUCUAAAGAGUGAUAUUGUAAAGCAAGAUAGAUCAGUUACAGCUCAGGAAAGUUUCUCAACAGAAAUGUUUCAAAAAAUGUUUAUCAAAUCCAAGUUGUCAUGGAAACAGUGAUGACGUGCUAUGACAAGGCUAGGCACAGAGUUCAUUUUGUUUUCAUGACAAUCACUGAUUAUCUUAUUGGUCAGUGAAAGGUCGCUGUGUCAGAUGGUAUUCCACUUCUGUAGAUUGUAAUGAACACAAAGAUGUCACACAAUGUCAUGUAUAUAUGUAGUGUUGUUGUAUAAAAAAUGGAAGAUUGUGUUAGCAAUGUCUCAAUAAAUUUGGCUGUUUUAACUGCAUUUACAAGAAACUUUAAGGAGAGGAUAAAGAUUGUGAAUGCUUAAAAAGUUAACAAUAUUUUGUACUGCUAGGCUGCAUUCAUCUGAAAAGUUCAAAUUUGGUUCUGAUGAAAUAAUUCUGCUGUUUGUUUUAAAGUGUACUACACCAAACAAGUUUGUAGCAUGGGCGGUAGGCUGGGGGGGGGGGGUGAGUUCGGAUACACACCCGACGGAGGUAAAUUUUGUUCCACUAAGUGGGUUAUAAUAAAAAAAAAUACAAUUAAGUUUUCAUUGGAAAAGAGAAUUAGUAUUCUCUACUAUAACCUACCAGGCUAAAACCAUUCUAUGCCGGUGUGUAAAGUAUUAAUAUUCAAUUCAUACAUUCAAAAUUGUCUAGGAGUUGUUAUAUAUGUGUCCAAUUGUUAGUUCUAUUGUUUUAAUUUAAAUUAUUGUCCUGAUGUUUAAUACAUUCAAGAGAUUUUAAUUAUGACAUUUAUAAAUUAUAAUUUCAUGAAGUUAAAAAUCUGAUAUUUAUUUGUAACAUGUAGUCUGCUUCAAAGCUAGUAAAGAAAUAAUUUACCUCCAAUUGAACUAUGUAAUUUAUGAAAUGUAGAUACUUUUGCAGCAGCUAAAACAUUCAGUGAAAAUAAGUGUCAGACAUUAAAAUUAUUUCAAACUUAAAUUAUGUAAUCAAUUGCGCCCUCAGUGUUUAAACAUACAGACCAUAUGAAUGUAAAAAUCUCAUCCUCUUUAAUAAAUAAAAACAACAGUUUUCCUUUGAUAACGUCAUUUGUAACCCAUAUUUGGACAUGCAUUUCACUACAGUAUUAGGCAAUAUUUAUAAGACAGUUCUUUUGCUAAAAAUCCAACUUUAUUCAAAUUCAAAGUAAAGGUUAUAUAAUGCUAUAUUUGAUGAACAAUGUGGGACCUCAUAUUGGACAAAAUGGUGGACCGUAGAUGGAUAUAUCAUAACACAGGGCCUGUAGUUAUAAAUCCUUUUUGAAAUCGAAAUGUAUAUCUUUUGCCCCAUUAUUUAUUGAAUAUGUUUUUGCAGUAUAUUUUAUGAUGAAAUGAUAGGAAAAAAGUAGAUUAUAAAAAAUAUAUAUAUAUAUAUAUAUAUAUAUAUAUAUAUUCAUUAUAUAAUUAAUUACAGUAUAACAAUUUGAUCAGGGCUGCAGAAAUACUGAUUUUAUUCCAAGUGUUAUAAAGCAGCACUUUGAUGAUAGUUUCCCUUGCUAUUUAUUACCUUUUAUAAAACUAUCAGUCAUAAAGUUGGUUUAUGGUUUAUGAUGUUAGGCCAAAUAAAUAAAUAUAUGUUUCUCAUUUUGAUGGUUUGGCAGACAUAGACCCCCAUUGCUGAGGCCACUGGUGCAACUAUACAUCAGUGCUACUAUUCAUCAGUGCUUACAAAGAUGCUUGCAUUUAUGUAGGUUUUGGUUGUUUUGCCUAGCAUGUAUUAUUACCUUGUGACAAAAAAUAACAAGGUAGCAGCCAAAAACAUAGAGGGCGAAUUGGAAACAUAUUUUGUAUUUGCCCUGAAAUGGCUUCUUAAGAAUAUGUAGUCUGUUGGUUUCUCUGUCCAUGGAUGUUAAAACGAAUAUGGACAGGUCUGCUUUCAUAACUUAAUUAUCAGGUGACUCAAUAUUUUUAAAGUGGUAAUUAUAUAUGGUAAGCAGUAUUUCAAUUUACUGAUGUACUUGGGUCAUUUGACUACACCAACAUGUAGGCAGACCUUUGAAAUUUGAAUAUUUAAAUAAUAUAUAUAUAUUUGACCUAUGACCAUAUUUGGUGAUUCAGGUCACGUUGUGUCUUAUUUGAUCAUUCAAGCCUUGGGCUACCAUGUACAUGUAUUGAACAUAAUGUACUACAGACUUUAUUUUUUUUAUCAAAUCAAUAUGAGAGAUACUAAAUAUCUUGGAAAUAAAAUUAUGACCAAUAACAUAAUGACUUUGAUUGUUUAAAAGAAAUAUUUUAUCAGAAUUAUAUAAAAUGUUGUGAUAUCAAAUAGAUGUCGUUCGUUAAUAGAGUUUUAAAAUCGGAUUCAAUGUCCUCAGAGUGUUUAACAAAACUUUACAAGACAUUUUGGGAGAUAAAAAAUGUUUUUAAUGUUUAUUAUAGGAAUCAAAAGGACAAAUUUUCACAAACGUUAUCUGUAUGUAGGCUAUAGAAAGAAAAGUGUGUGGACUAGUAAUAUUAAUAAUGAUGAUUUGUAGAUAAUGUAGUUCAUAUUUUAAUACCCAUGUUGACAUGGGUUCCAUUCUAAACGAUUUGUGGUCAAUCAGGCCUUGUUAUUAAUGUUAUUAUUAUUUUUAUCUUCUUAUCUAUGGCCAUCAGGUCUACAGUGUUUACUUUGGUCAAUGUGUCUCGGAAUAAAAGGGGGUCCAUGUUUCAUGUGUGAUAAAGAUGCUAUGUUCUUAAUUUAGGGUGCAUAAAUCUUCUGGUGAGGAUUACAUCAACGUUUUGUAUCCCACCGAACAGUGACCAUCAGGUUUGAUAAAAUCCCACAAAAUGGAUGUAUUGUACACAUGAAGCCCCACCGAAUCUUGUAAAAAUUUUAAAAUUCAUAGAUUGAUUUAAAUUGGAUCAUAAAUUCCAGUGAAGUACAUCCUGAUAAAACUGCAUAACGCUUCAGACCUGCAAAACAGAGACUUAAAACAUGUUAUAGAGCCACUAAAUUUUUGCUCGGCUUGUACAAAAAAAAAUGUGGUAUCUCCCUUGUUAUAGCAUCUUAAUGCACUUUUUUUUUUACGCAAUUUCUGAUUCCAGCAAUUUAUGCUGAUUUUAGAAGUUUUGGUCCAUUUAUUUAAUCAGCACAUGGGAGUCUUAUAUCUUAUAAAGCAUACAUCCAACCCCAGACAUAAUAAUAAAGCAAUGUUGAUUAAAAAAAUAAAUAAAUAAAAAGGAAAAUAUGCAAAUACAUGCGUGGCUUCAAUCUUUAGUAAUGAGCAAUGGUACAAUGGUAUAGAAUUCAUCCCUACAUGAGAAUUCGCAUGGCUGGUUUUGUACUAUAACUCUAGAAUGACUUGUGUAAUUUCAGUUAUGUGUAUCUAUUAAAAACUGUGGUUUCAAUGAUGCAAA